CAGGUAGGCAUGGAAACGGGGAGUCGGAGGGAAGAAGGCCAGACAGAUGGCCAUCAGCUCCCAGCCACGCUCCAGGCUGUCAUAUCGGAAGUUCUCUGUGGUUUGACGACACAGCUGAAUGUAGAGCUCAUCACGUAGACCCUGGUUACUCCACCCUCGCACCACCACCUGACAGUCAAGUGAAUUGGAGAGUGUGGCUUUCAUUCUUUUGGGAUACAAGCUCCUCGUACAGAGCAUAAAAAGGUUUGAGGAACAAAGCAUCUGCCUUUGGUUGCCAGAAAAACAAGACUAUGGCAACAACAGACCUUUACUUCAUCAGCUCCCAAUCAACAGGCUGUUCCAUUCAGACCGUCCAACAGCCGUAUUGGGGAGGAGGGUCGGCGAACAAGAGCUUCACUGUUGUGUGUGACUCCAGUCUGCUGUCCAGAAAACUCUUGGUCCAGAGAGGAGGAGGUGCUUCCCUCUUGACUGACCCCACUAUUACGUCCUGGGCUGUUAUCAGCAGAUACUCUCCCUCCACCUGCAGAAUGGGGGUUGGUGGCAUCUGUGUGCUGUUUUAAAGUCUGAAGCUUGGCUAGUGGGAUGAUGUCACAUCCCUGAGGCCUGUGCCACACUGUCC